rnacentral:rRNA from 1 species
AAGCAUUAUAUAGCAAGGGCCGGGCAAGACCGGUGCCAGCCGCCGCGGUAACACCGGCGGCUCGAGUGGUAACCGUUAUUAUUGGGUCUAAAGGGUCUGUAGCCGGCCGGAUAAGUCUCUUGGGAAAUCUGGCAGCUCAACUGUCAGGCUUUCAGGGGAUACUGUCUGGCUCGAGGCCGGGAGAGGUGAGAGGUACUUCAGGGGUAGGGGUGAAAUCUUGUAAUCCUUGAAGGACCACCAGUGGCGAAGGCGUCUCACCAGAACGGACCUGACGGCAAGGGACGAAAGCUAGGGGCACGAACCGGAUUAGAUACCCGGGUAGUCCUAGCCGUAAACGAUACUCGCUAGGUGUCGGCCACGGUGCGACCGUUGUCGGUGCCGUAGGGAAGCCGUGAAGCGAGCCACCUGGGAAGUACGGCCGCAAGGCUGAAACUUAAAGGAAUUGGCGGGAA